GUUAGGAAUAUUGGACAAUGGGCGCAAGCCUGAUCCAGCCAUGCCGCGUGAGUGAUGAAGGCCUUCGGGUUGUAAAGCUCUUUAGCCGAUGAUUAUGAUGACUGUAGUCGGAAAAUAAGCCCCGGCUAACUUCGUGCCAGCAGCCGCGGUAAUACGAAGGGGGCGAGCGUUAUUCGGAAUCACUGGGCGUAAAGCGUGCGUAGGCGGCUUUGCAAGUUGGGAGUGAAAGCCCAGGGCUCAACCCUGGAAUUGCUCUCAAAACUGCAAGGCUCGAAUUCGGGAGAGGAUAGCGGAAUUGGCAGUGUAGCAGUGAAAUGCGUAGAUAUUGACAGGAACACCAGUGGCGUAAGCGGCUAUCUGGACCGAUAUUGACGCUGAGGCACGAAAGCGUGGGGAUCAAACAGGAUUAGAAACCCGAGUAGUCC
rnacentral:rRNA from 1 species